rnacentral:rRNA from 1 species
CAAUUAGAAAUUAAUAAUUUAAUUUUCUCGAACUUAGAAGAGCUAAGCAGUACAUAUAUGUUAUUGUUGAAUAAAUAUUUAGAAUGUCUGCUUGGUAGCGAAAUGUUAUUCGUUUCUAAAUAUAUCUAGUUUUUCAAGAAAUAAAUUCAAUUUAGUUAGUUUUAUACAAUUUUUUUAAUUUAUUAGUAGAUUGUAUGAAUUAUUCAAUAUCCAGAGGGACAAGCUUUUGGAUAAAUUUUUAUAAGUUAGGGAUAGUUUAAGAUUAGUAGGAUUAGAAGCUUUUAUCUUUAGAAUGACGUUAUAGUCGAUCUUUAAUAAAUAUGAUUUUUAUUGACUUUAAGUGUUUUAUUGAAAUGUAAUUUUUAAUUUAUUAAAAUUAGCAAUAAUGAUAGAAUUAGUAUAUAAUUUUGUCUAAAUUUUUAGUGGUCUCGAGGUUGAUAAAAGGAAUUCGGCAAAAAAUUUUUCACCUGUUUAUUAAAAACAUGGCCUUUUGAUAAUUAUUUAAGGUCUAGCCUGCCCACUGAGUCUUUAAAUGGCCGCGGUAUCCU